ACGCUGGCGGCAGGCUUAACACAUGCAAGUCGAACGGUAACAGGGAUUAGCUUGCUAAUCUGCUGACGAGUGGCGGACGGGUGAGUAAUGCUUGGGAAUCUGGCUUAUGGAGGGGGAUAACUACGGGAAACUGUAGCUAAUACCGCGUAAAAUCUUCGGAUUAAAGGGUGGGACUUUCGAGCCACCUGCCAUAAGAUGAGCCCAAGUGGGAUUAGGUAGUUGGUUAGGUAAAGGCUGACCAAGUCGACGAUCUCUAGCUGGUCUGAGAGGAUGACCAGCCACACUGGAACUGAGACACGGUCCAGACUCCUACGGGAGGCAGCAGUGGGGAAUAUUGCACAAUGGGGGGAACCCUGAUGCAGCCAUGCCGCGUGAAUGAAGAAGGCCUUCGGGUUGUAAAGUUCUUUCGGUGACGAGGAAGGUUGAUAGGUUAAUAGCCUAUCAAAUUGACGUUAAUCACAGAAGAAGCACCGGCUAACUCCGCGCCAGCAGCCGCGGUAAUACGGGGGGUGCGAGCGUUAAUCGGAAUAACUGGGCGUAAAGGGCACGCAGGCGGUGACUUAAGUGAGAUGUGAAAGCCCCGAGCUUAACUUGGGAAUUGCAUUUCAUACUGGGUCGCUAGAGUACUUUAGGGAGGGGUAGAAUUCCACGUGUAGCGGUGAAAUGCGUAGAGAUGUGGAGGAAUACCGAAGGCGAAGGCAGCCCCUUGGGAAUGUACUGACGCUCAUGUGCGAAAGCGUGGGGAGCAAACAGGAUUAGAUACCCUGGUAGUCCACGCUGUAAACGAUGUCGAUUUGGGGAUUGGGCUUUGAGCUUGGUGCCCGUAGCUAACGUGAUAAAUCGACCGCCUGGGGAGUACGGCCGCAAGGUUAAAACUCAAAUGAAUUGACGGGGGCCCGCACAAGCGG
rnacentral:rRNA from 1 species